UACGUACCGUCCAACCGUUAUUCGGAAUUACUGGGCUUAAAGGGUUUGUAGGCGGCGCUGUUAGUCGGGUGUGAAAUCCCAGGGCUCAACCCUGGAACUGCGCCCGAUACUGCAGUGCUUGAGGGAGACAGAGGUAAGCGGAACUGAUGGUGGAGCGGUGAAAUGCGUUGAUAUCAUCAGGAACACCGGUGGCGAAAGCGGCUUACUGGGUCUCUUCUGACGAUGAGAAACGAAAGCUAGGGGAGCGAAGGGG
rnacentral:rRNA from 1 species